UGUGUAUAUGUAUAUAUAUAUGUGUGUGUGUAUGUAUACAUACACACAUAUAUACACACACAUAUAUAUACACACAUAUACACACAUACACAUAUAUACAUAUACAUAUAUAGAUA
rnacentral:miRNA from 1 species